GAUGAACGCUAGCUACAGGCUUAACACAUGCAAGUCGAGGGGAAACGACAUCGAAAGCUUGCUUUUGAUGGGCGUCGACCGGCGCACGGGUGAGUAACGCGUAUCCAACCUGCCCAUCACUUGGGAAUAACCUUGCGAAAGUAAGACUAAUACCCAAUGAUAUCCCACGAAGGCAUCGGAAUGGGAUUAAAGAUUUAUCGGUGAUGGAUGGGGAUGCGUCUGAUUAGCUUGUUGGCGGGGUAACGGCCCACCAAGGCAACGAUCAGUAGGGGUUCUGAGAGGAAGGUCCCCCACAUUGGAACUGAGACACGGUCCAAACUCCUACGGGAGGCAGCAGUGAGGAAUAUUGGUCAAUGGGCGAGAGCCUGAACCAGUCAAGUAGCGUGCAGGAAGACGGCCCUAUGGGUUGUAAACUGCUUUUAUAAGGGAAUAAAGUGGGUCACGUGUGACUUUUUGCAUGUACCUUAUGAAUAAGGACCGGCUAAUUCCGUG
rnacentral:rRNA from 1 species